rnacentral:rRNA from 1 species
GUUAUGAAAACAAGUAUCGUUGGAUGUGGGCGGUACCUUUGCGGUACCUUAUCCAGAAAAGUCACGGUUAAUAAGGUGCCAGCAGCCGCGGUAAUACGUAAGGUGGCAACCGUUGUCCUGGAAUUAUUGGGGGUAAAGGGCUCGCAGGCGGGUUCCUUAAGUUUGAUGUGAAAGCCCCCGGCUCAACCCGGGGAGGGUCAUUGGAAACUGGGGAACUUGAGUGCAGAAGAGGAGAGUGGAAUUCCACGUGUAGCGGUGAAAUGCGUAGAGAUGUGGAGGAACACCAGUGGCGAAGGCGACUCUCUGGUCUGUAACUGACGCUGAGGAGCGAAAAGCGUGGGGAGCGAACAGGAUUAGAUACCCUGGUAGUCCACGCCGUAAAACGAUGAGUGCUAAGUGUUAGGGGGUUUCCGCCCCUUAGUGCUGCAGCUAACGCAUUAAGCACUCCGCCUGGGGAGUACGGUCGCAAGACUGAAACUCAAAGGAAUUGACGGGGGCCCGCACAAGCGGUGGAGCAUGUGGUUUAAUUUGAAGCAACGCGAAGAACCUUACCAGGUCUUGACAUCCUCUGACAAUCCUAGAGAUAGGACGUCCCCUUCGGGGGCAGAGUGACAGGUGGUGCAUGGUUGUCGUCAGCUCGUGUCGUGAGAUGUUGGGUUAAGUCCCGCAACGAGCGCAACCCUUGAUCUUAGUUGCCAGCAUUCAGUUGGGCACUCUAAGGUGACUGCCGGUGACAAACCGGAGGAAGGUGGGGAUGACGUCAAAUCAUCAUGCCCCUUAUGACCUGGGCUACACACGUGCUACAAUGGACAGAACAAAGGGCAGCGAAACCGCGAGGUUAAGCCAAUCCCACAAAUCUGUUCUCAGUUCGGAUCGCAGUCUGCAACUCGACUGCGUGAAGCUGGAAUCGCUAGUAAUCGCGGAUCAGCAUGCCGCGGUGAAUACGUUCCCGGGCCUUGUACACACCGCCCGUCACACCACGAGAGUUUGUAACACCCGAAGUCGGUGAGGUAACCUUUAUGGAGCCAGCCGCCGAAGGUGGGACAGAUGAUUGGGGUGAAGUCGUAACAAGUAGCCUUUGG